UCAUGCAACUCCCUGAACAGGCCCGAUCUUGUGUGAUCUCAGAAGCUAAGCAGGGUCAGGCCUGGUUAGUACUUGGAUGGGAGACCACCGGGGAAUACCAGGUGCUGUAGGCU
rnacentral:rRNA from 1 species